rnacentral:lncRNA from 1 species
AAAUUUAGAGAAAGAAGUGCCAAAAGCACCAGAUCCACAGGUGAGACGUCUCUUUUACCAAUUAAAGAGAUUUAUGUGUUUAACUUCCCUUUUACUUAUAUACGUUAUGGGAUUUUAAUUUAAUUUGUUUGUCUGUUCGGUGUAUAUAUUGUUCUACUGGAAGAUCUGAAAAAUAUUGCAAUGAGUCAUUUUUAUCUUUGUUGAGUCCUUUUAUUAUUAUUAUUAUUAUUAUUAUUAUUAUUAUUAUUAUUAUUAUUAUUAUUAUGACAGAGACUCUUCUACAUGAUUGCAUUCACUUGCAUCAUUUAGAUCUUCACAUUCAAUCUGUCCAGCAAUUUGAGAUCAGUGGGGAUAGAUAUGCUUCCUGAAUGGUUCAAACACCCACCUUGAGACACUAUGAAACAUCCAUAGAUGAAACACCAAUUGUAAGCAAUGACAAACAACAUGGACAUUAAAAGGCAUUUUAUGUUCGAGUUUAUAGUGCUGGN